rnacentral:ribozyme from 14 species
CUUGUAUUUGGUUUUACAUUUUUUCUGUUUCGGUGCUAUAUGUUUUUUUCUUCUGGCUUUACUACUACUAUUAUGAAAAUAAAUGGGAAGGAUUUUUGAGGUGUUGGGUUUAAACA